rnacentral:rRNA from 1 species
GAUGAACGCUGGCGGCGUGCCUAAUACAUGCAAGUCGAGCGAACGGACGAGAAGCUUGCUUCUCUGAUGUUAGCGGCGGACGGGUGAGUAACACGUGGAUAACCUACCUAUAAGACUGGGAUAACUUCGGGAAACCGGAGCUAAUACCGGAUAAUAUUUUGAACCGCAUGGUUCAAAAGUGAAAGACGGUCUUGCUGUCACUUAUAGAUGGAUCCGCGCUGCAUUAGCUAGUUGGUAAGGUAACGGCUUACCAAGGCAACGAUGCAUAGCCGACCUGAGAGGGUAGUGGGCCACACUGAAACUGAAACAGGGUCCAGACCCCCACGGGGGGGAACAGUGGGGAAUUUUCCGCAGGGGGCAAAAGCCUCACGGCAAAACCCCGAGUGGGUGAUGAAGGUUUUGGGAUCGUAAAACUCUGUUAUUAGGAAAGAAAAUAUGUAAAAGUAACUGUGCAAAUUUUGACGGUACCUACAAGAAAGACCGCGGCUAACUGCGU